GGGCGUUAAGUUGCAGGGUAUAGACCCGAAACCCGGUGAUCUAGCCAUGGGCAGGUUGAAGGUUGGGUAACACUAACUGGAGGACCGAACCGACUAAUGUUGAAAAAUUAGCGGAUGACCUGUGGCUGGGGGUGAAAGGCCAAUCAAACCGGGAGAUAGCUGGUUCUCCCCGAAAGCUAUUUAGGUAGCGCCUCGUGAAUUCAUCUCCGGGGGUAGAGCACUGUUUCGGCUAGGGGGCCAUCCCGGCUUACCAACCCGAUGCAAACUGCGAAUACCGGAGAAUGUUAUCACGGGAGACACACGGCGGGUGCUAACGUCCGUCGUGAAGAGGGAAACAACCCAGACCGCCAGCUAAGGUCCCAAAGUCAUGGUUAAGUGGGAAACGAUGUGGGAAGGCCCAGACAGCCAGGAUGUUGGCUUAGAAGCAGCCAUCAUUUAAAGAAAGCGUAAUAGCUCACUGGUCGAGUCGGCCUGCGCGGAAGAUGUAACGGGGCUAAACCAUGCACCGAAGCUGCGGCAGCGACGCUGAUGCGUUGUUGGGUAGGGGAGCGUUCUGUAAGCCUGUGAAGGUGUGUCGUGAGGCAUGCUGGAGGUAUCAGAAGUGCGAAUGCUGACAUAAGUAACGAUAAAGCGGGUGAAAAGCCCGCUCGCCGGAAGACCAAGGGUUCCUGUCCAACGUUAAUCGGGGCAGGGUGAGUCGACCCCUAAGGCGAGGCCGAAAGGCGUAGUCGAUGGGAAACGGGUUAAUAUUCCCGUACUUGGUGUUACUGCGAAGGGGGGACGGAGAAGGCUAUGUUGGCCGGGCGACGGUUGUCCCGGUUUAAGCGUGUAGGUGUGUGUUCCAGGUAAAUCCGGUUCACUUUAACACUGAGGCGUGACGACGAGGCACUACGGUGCUGAAGCAACAAAUGCCCUGCUUCCAGGAAAAGCCUCUAAGCAUCAGGUAACACGAAAUCGUACCCCAAACCGACACAGGUGGUCAGGUAGAGAAUACCAAGGCGCUUGAGAGAACUCGGGUGAAGGAACUAGGCAAAAUGGUGCCGUAACUUCGGGAGAAGGCACGCUGACACGUAGGUGA
rnacentral:rRNA from 1 species